GGGCUGGUAGCUCAGAUUGGAAGAGCACCCGCUUGGCGUGCGGGGGGUCACGGGUUCAAAUCCCGUCCAGUCCA
rnacentral:tRNA from 3 species